UUGAUAUGCAUGGUGCUUCCUAGACUCAGGGUGUGACUAUAAGGGGGGGGGAUGUGGAAAUGGUACAGUUUUGAGGUGGAUUGAUUUGCAUUUAUUCCAUUGAUUACAUGACACAAAGGGAAAUGCAAAUCAGCCUAGAGUCCCUCCCGUCCUUUUUGUAGUUUUCUCUCUGCCACUGGUGCAUCUAUUUUUUUUUAAAACAAUGAAUCAAUUUGUGGUGUGUGAUCCCUUAGGCAAUGCAGAAAAGCUGCCACAACAGGACACAGUCAGCAACAAACUCGGGCGUUAUUAAACUUGUGGAUUAACACUUUAGAAGUAGAUGACUGCAAGGAAUGAGGUGGCUCCAAUUCCAGGCUAAACUAAUUUACUUCAUGACAAGGAGACCAACAUUGUCAAUCAAACAAACUGUGCUACAUUUAAUCAGCAAGUAAGUGAUAUGUGAUGAGCAUACUUAAAAAUGUUUUUGAGCCUUGGAAGGACAAAAAGCAUCCGUUUAAAAGUUUUUCCCUGCAGUCCCCCUCUCCGUGUUUCUGUUUGAACUUAAAUGAAAUGGAAAAGGAAUGAGAAGUUGAUCAGAAAAGUUCUACCACUUCACAUAUAUCUCUUAAUGUCAAUUUUGUUUUUAACUGGGAAUGAUAAUAUAUUGUACCGACAAUAGCAAUUGUGAAACUAGAUGUUGGUUUGGAAGUUUUAAACUACCAAUCACAGCAUCAGGAGCUUAUUUAUGUGUUCAUCCUUUAAUAUGAUUUAUACCACCUUCUGUCAGCAGUGCCCCUUUGCUUUCUACCACAGAUGAACAGGGCAAUCUCUGUGUAAAAGAAUUAAUAGAUGCAAAUCUGACACAAGGAAUGGCAACAGAGAGAAAGCAGUUUCAGAACAUUUCACCCUCCCAGCACACUGGAUUGUGAUGCCCCAACCUUGCCA
rnacentral:lncRNA from 1 species